AUAUUGCUGACCAGAACACUCAUACCUAUUCAAUCUUGUGUUUGCUAUUUUCCGUCUUGAACUUUUUCUCCCUUUUUUAUAUGCAUCAGAACCCACGUGUCAAGCCACAAUUUCUGCCUCUUUUACCCCUGGUCUUACGGUCCUUCUAACCCUCCCCUAAGUGGCUUAGGAAAAGUGCACGAUUUCACCUUCUUGUGCAGACAACAGAAAAGUAUUAAACUUCAAAAAAGUUGAUGCUCGUGGGUAGCAGCUCAAGGAGCCUCAAUUGUCUGCAACAGGUGAAGCAAGAGUAGUGCCAUGUCAAGAAUAAGCUCGAAACACUGAUCAGGAUAUAAAAUUACUUUAUUUUGGAAGAUGAAAGUGGGGAGGGACAGCUGAAAUUUUUCUUAAAUUGGUAUUCAAGACAAGGGGAAUCCUGAAAAGAUAUGAUGCUUCACAGCUCAAAUCUCUCCUAUGGUAGUAAUAUAACUAUAGAGCUAUUUUCUAAAAGCAUAAAGGUUUUGUAAUCCGUUUUAUUCUUUUCUGCUGACUGUACUUAGAUCUCUAUUUUAUAGUGCAGUUGCUUCAACUACUGAAGUUAUACUACAAGAUAUUCCAUAAUUGGUAUACAUGCUCAGAAAUCACAAGUUAGUGAGUUCUCAUUAAUCUGAAAUUGAAGGAGCAAGAUUCGGCAUCCUCCAAGACACUUUUUUUUUCUUCAUUGCUCAAAGUUGAACGCGGUAGCAAUUAAGAAGUAAAAAGUAGAUUGAAAUUUGUCUAAGAUUUUGCGUUAUCCAGAGAUAUGAUAUACAUUGUCUCAUUGAUCUAGUUUAAUGAGAUUGAAUUAGAAAUAAAUUCCACUUUCUAGACAAAGUGAAGUGAUGAUCUCUAAUUUUAAUUGUGAGGAGAACUCCAUCUUCUCCGCUGUUCCUCAAA